rnacentral:rRNA from 1 species
UGGGGAAUAUUGCACAAUGGGGGAAACCCUGAUGCAGCGACGCCGCGUGAGCGAUGAAGUAUUUCGGUAUGUAAAGCUCUAUCAGCAGGGAAGAAAAUGACGGUACCUGACUAAGAAGCCCCGGCUAACUACGUGCCAGCAGCCGCGGUAAUACGUAGGGGGCAAGCGUUAUCCGGAUUUACUGGGUGUAAAGGGAGCGUAGACGGUAGUGCAAGCCAGAUGUGAAAGACUGGGGCUCAACCCCGGGGCUGCAUUUGGAACUGUAUAACUAGAGUGUCGGAGAGGCAGGCGGAAUUCCUAGUGUAGCGGUGAAAUGCGUAGAUAUUAGGAGGAACACCAGUGGCGAAGGCGGCCUGCUGGACGAUAACUGACGUUGAGGCUCGAAAGCGUGGGGAGCAAACAGG